rnacentral:rRNA from 1 species
CCAAUAGCGUAUAUUAAAGUUGUUGCAGUUAAAAAGCUCGUAGUUGAACCUUAGGCCCGUGCGGGUGGUCCGUCCUCAGGGCGAGCACUGCUCCGUCGCGGGUCUCACCUUCUGGCGAGCGUGGAUGCCAUUUAUUUGGUGUCCGCGGGAACCAGGACCUUUACCUUGAAAAAAUUAGAGUGCUCAAAGCGGGCUCCGACGCUUGAAUACAUUAGCAUGGAAUAAUGAAAUAGGACGAUGGUUCUAUUUUGUUGGUUUCCGGGACCGUCGUAAUGAUUAAUAGGGAUAGUUGGGGGCAUUCGUAUUCAAUUGUCAGAGGUGAAGUUCUUGGAUUUAUUGAAGACGAACUACUGCGAAAGCAUUUGCCAAGGAUGUUUUCAUUAAUCAAGAACGAAAGUUGGGGGAUCGAAGACGAUCAGAUACCGUCGUAGUCUCAACCAUAAACUAUGCCGACUGGGAAUCGGGCGAUGUUACUUUUCUGACUCGCUCGGCGCCCCGAG